GAUGAACGCUAGCUACAGGCUUAACACAUGCAAGUCGAGGGGUAACGAGAGGAAAGCUUGCUUUCCUUGUCGACGACCGGCGCACGGGUGAGUAACGCGUAUCCAACCUGCCCCCAACUAAGGAAUAACCUUGCGAAAGUAAGACUAAUACCUUAUAAUUUCCUCAGAUGUCAUCUGACGAGGAAUAAAGAUUUAUCGGUUGUGGAUGGGGAUGCGUCUGAUUAGCUUGCUGGCGGGGUAACGGCCCACCAAGGCAACGAUCAGUAGGGGUUCUGAGAGGAAGGUCCCCCACAUUGGAACUGAGACACGGUCCAAACUCCUACGGGAGGCAGCAGUGAGGAAUAUUGGUCAAUGGGCGAAAGCCUGAACCAGCCAAGUAGCGUGCAGGAUGACGGCCUAUGGGUUGUAAACUGCUUUUAUACAGGAAUAAAGUUAGCCACGUGUGGUUAUUUGUAGGUACUGUAUGAAUAAGGACCGGCUAAUUCCGUGCCAGCAGCCGCCGUAA
rnacentral:rRNA from 1 species